rnacentral:rRNA from 1 species
UACAGGGGGUGCAAACGUUGCUCGGAAUCAUUGGGCGUAAAGCGCACGUAGGCGGUUCGUUAUGUCGGAUGUGAAAGCCCUUGGCUUAACCGAGGAAGUGCAUCCGAAACUGGCGAGCUAGAGUACGAAAGAGGAUCGCGGAAUUCCCGGUGUAGAGGUGAAAUUCGUAGAUAUCGGGAGGAACACCUAUGGCGAAGGCAGCUCGCUGGGACGUUACUGACGCUGAGACGCGAAAGCGUGGGGAGCAAACAGG